GCACGGAGCUUAAUAUGAAGAGCAGUAAUACCAAGUUCCUUGCAUCUCUGUGAGACAUCCUGUGCUGCAAGCAUGGCAGCAUACGGUGAAGACUCAUCUCUGUCAGCUUUCACCUUCAUGCCUCCUGUUAUUCGAACAAGGGUUUCUCUUCCAGAGAGAUCAGUCACAUGAAUGAAUGUGUCGUUGAAUGAUGCAAAGAUGUGUGCCACUCCAAAAACAUGCUCACCCUCCCUUACUGCAGGUCCAAGUGUAACAUUCUCUUCCUUUGGCUCUCUAGUCUUCUUUUUAGACAUGGCUGCGAUGAUAUGAAAUUGCGAAGGAGAUAGCGAAGGAAAGGUUUAGGAGAAGCCGUAUGACGAAGUGCGAACCAGAGA
rnacentral:misc_RNA from 1 species